rnacentral:rRNA from 1 species
AUUAAGCAUAUCAAUAAGCGGAGGAAAAGAAACCAACAGGGAUUGCCUCAGUAACGGCGAGUGAAGCGGCAACAGCUCAAAUUUGAAAUCUGGCUCUUCUAGGGUCCGAGUUGUAAUUUGUAGAAGAUGCUUCGGGUGUGGCUCCGGUCUAAGUUCCUUGGAACAGGACGUCAUAGAGGGUGAGAAUCCCGUAUGUGACUGGUUGCCUUCGCCCAUGUGAAGCUCUUUCAACGAGUCGAGUUGUUUGGGAAUGCAGCUCAAAAUGGGUGGUAAAUUUCAUCUAAAGCUAAAUAUUGGCCAGAGACCGAUAGCGCACAAGUAGAGUGAUCGAAAGAUGAAAAGCACUUUGGAAAGAGAGUUAAACAGUACGUGAAAUUGUUGAAAGGGAAGCGCUUGCAACCAGACUUGCGUGCGGUCGAUCAUCCGGUGUUCUCACCGGUGCACUCGAUCGUAUUCAGGCCAGCAUCGGUUUCGGUGGUUGGAUAAAGGCCUUGGGAAUGUAGCUUCUCUCGGGGAGUGUUAUAGCCCAAGGUGCAAUGCAGCCUACCGGGACCGAGGACCGCGCUUCGGCUAGGAUGCUGGCGUAAUGGUUGUAAGCGACCCGUCUUGAAACACGGACCAAGGAGUCUAACAUCUAUGCGAGUGUUUGGGUGUCAAACCCAUACGCGUAAUGAAAGUGAACGGAGGUGAGAACCCUUAAGGGUGCAUCAUCGACCGAUCCUGAUGUCUUCGGAUGGAUUUGAGUAAGAGCAUAGCUGUUGGGACCCGAAAGAUGGUGAACUAUGCCUGAAUAGGGUGAAGCCAGAGGAAACUCUGGUGGAGGCUCGCAGCGGUUCUGACGUGCAAAUCGAUCGUCAAAUUUGGGUAUAGGGGCGAAAGACUAAUCGAACCAUCUAGUAGCUGGGUUCCUGCCGAAGU